GUGCAAACUCGAUCACUAGCUCUGCACAAUGUGGCAGCGGCUAAGGGAACCAGGUUUGCUAGAGCAGUUGUGGUGACAGCAAUGUACCAACCUCAAACUAUUGAGGUGACCAUGCUGUCCCAGUACAGUC